GAUGAAGAACGCAGCGAAAUGCGAUACGUAGUGUGAAUUGCAGAAUUCCGUGAACCAUCAAAUCUUUGAACGCAUAUUGCGCUCGAGGCUUCGGCCGAGAGCAUGUCUGCCUCAGCGUCGGUAUUACCCCUCGCUUCUCAACCCCUGGUUGAUGCCUGCCUGCCUUUGCAGUUGGCUAGAAGCGGAUCUGGCUUUCCCAAUUGCCUUUGGUAGUUGGGUCAGCUGAAGCACAGAGGCUUGAGCAAGGACCCUUAUUGGGCUUCGACUGGAUAGGUAGAACUGGUCUUAGGACCAACUACACGAAGUUGUUGCUUGUGGUCUUUGUCUGGAGGCCAGCAGGAAACCUUUAUACCUUCGACCUGAGCUCAGGCAAGAUUACCCGCUGAACUUAAGCAUAUCAAUAAGCGGAGGA
rnacentral:misc_RNA from 1 species